rnacentral:misc_RNA from 1 species
AGUCGUAACAAGGUUUCCGUAGGUGAACCUGCGGAAGGAUCAUUACAGUAUUCUUUUUGCCAGCGCUUAAUUGCGCGGCGAAAAAACCUUACACACAGUGUUUUUUGUUAUUACAAGAACUUUUGCUUUGGUCUGGACUAGAAAUAGUUUGGGCCAGAGGUUUACUGAACUAAACUUCAAUAUUUAUAUUGAAUUGUUAUUUAUUUAAUUGUCAAUUUGUUGAUUAAAUUCAAAAAAUCUUCAAAACUUUCAACAACGGAUCUCUUGGUUCUCGCAUCGAUGAAGAACGCAGCGAAAUGCGAUAAGUAAUAUGAAUUGCAGAUUUUCGUGAAUCAUCGAAUCUUUGAACGCACAUUGCGCCCUCUGGUAUUCCAGAGGGCAUGCCUGUUUGAGCGUCAUUUCUCUCUCAAACCUUCGGGUUUGGUAUUGAGUGAUACUCUUAGUUGAACUAGGCGUUUGCUUGAAAUGUAUUGGCAUGAGUGGUACUGGAUAGUGCUAUAUGACUUUCAAUGUAUUAGGUUUAUCCAACUCGUUGAAUAGUUUAAUGGUAUAUUUCUCGGUAUUCUAGGCUCGGCCUUACAAUAUAACAAACAAGUUGA